GAUGAAGAACGUAGCGAAAUGCGAUAAGUAAUGUGAAUUGCAGAAUUCAGUGAAUCAUCGAAUCUUUGAACGCACAUUGCGCCCGCUAGUAUUCUGGCGGGCAUGCCUGUUCGAGCGUCAUUUCAACCAUCAAGCCCUGUGCUUGUGUUGGAGCCCUGCGGCUGCCGCAGGCUCCCAAACCCAGUGGCGGGCUCGUCGUCGUACCGAGUGCAGUAAACAUACCACGCUCAGGGCACGCGACGGGUGACCGGCCGUAAAACCCCCCCCCUUCUCAAGGUUGACCUCGGAUCAGGUAGGAAUACCCGCUGAACUUAAGCAUAUCAAUAAGCGGAGGA
rnacentral:misc_RNA from 1 species